UGCUAACAGAUCAUGAAGGCUCAGGUACUC
rnacentral:piRNA from 1 species